UCCCUGUCUAGCGGAGGUCUUCCUAAGACUUCCUCUUAAAGAAGUGCUGUAAAGUCCUGCAUAUACACUUAACCUGAGGCCCUGCUACAUCAUCAGUUCCAUCUACAUAUCACUUGAGCAGUUCUUCAUGAUGUGCAGCAGCUGCCCUGCUGGGUCACGUGCUCGUGCAGUACUGUGCUUGUCACCUGGGCAGCCAUGCUCAGCAUCUGCGUGGCCCUUGCACAGAGAGGCUGUUAGCAUGUCAUCUUCCAUACCUGUGAUUCAGGAGGACAUGACAUACAAUAAGCUUCUUCUGGCCUUCUCUCAGGAACUUUAUGCUAUUGCCUUGAACUUCAACAGCAUAGAAUCUCUAAUGGCUGCAGAUGUUUCUCCCAGAGCAUGGUAUGGAGGCUUGGAGCAAGACGUCUUUCCCACAGAUGGCAAAGUGUCAAACGAGUUCAGGAGAUGAAAAAACAAACAAAAACACCUACCUGAGAACUUUCAGUGUUCCUCAUCCAACAUUUGACCUGAGAUUUUUUCUAGGCUGAACCUUGAAUCCUGAAACUCCCUGCUAAAGCUUUAAGGACAGAUAAUAAGGUAAGUUUUUUCACAGUGCCAAGCAGUUAAAAACAGGCCUCAUCACAUGCUCCAAUGCAUUUUCUACAAAGGUUUGUCUCAGUUCAGAGGCAAGUCUGCCACUCAGUUCUUGGAAGACAAGAACUACUUUUCUCUAUCAUGGCAAAUUAAUCACUAGUCUUCAGGUACCUUUUCCUCUUGUUGAAGUGGAAGUUCUUACCUCUUCCUUUGCUGUUCUAUAUCUGGCAGAGCCAGGUGUGGUACACUGAGUGACAGCGUUGUCUUAUACCCAUAUGUGUCAGUGUCUCUCUAUGAUUCAACCACAAACAUAAAGAAAAAUAACUUUAGGCUAAUUUUCAUGAUAAAUCAACCAAGAGUGCCAGAUGUCUUAAUAAAAACUUGAAUGAAGCUGCUACUGUUUCCUCUAAGCCCUGGGUGGAGCAGGUGUGGGCUGGCUACCCUUGGGGCUUGAUGUAGUGCACAGGAGAGGUGAGAGAAGAGGGCAAACAUUAACAGCAGUAGUUAGGCUUUCUCAGUUCCGUUUCCAAUGUUCCAAUAAAUGCUUGUAGUGUUCAGAUGAAGAAACAGCAACAAAUGCCUCCCAGCAUGUGCCUUUUCUAAGAGGAGCCCCAUCAGCUUUGUGCCAUCAUGAAUUAUAGGGUCAGAAAAGAGACCUUCUCCAGCAACAAUGUGAAAAGCCUUAUGCAUAGGUACAGAUUCUGACAAGUCGUGAAGUCACUCCACAAAUGACUUGAAGAGGCCCAUGGAACUAUUUGGGUAUCAGGAGCCGUUUCUGUACCUGCUAAUGCUGUAGGUCAGGAUUGUAUUUUUACAUGUGUUAUACAUGGAAGUUUUGAUGUUUGGGGAAUCUCAGAGAAUUGCAGUGCUAGUCAUUGUUUCUUAUCCAUGGUUGGAAGACUAUUACCCUUCACACCCACGUUAUUUCUCUCAGCUUUGAAAGCCCUUCUUGUGAGAGGGUUUUUACCUAUGAGGAAGGAGCCAAAAUAAUUAGGAUGAGCUUUGCUGUACCAUGUCAUUCCUGAGAUCUGUGCUGACGCAUCUGAAAAUAGUUAAUGUGGACUUGAUGCAUCCACAAUGAAUUAUGUAAGUCAGUGGGCUAUGGAAGUAAUACCACUGGAUAGAAAUAAUGCCAUUGCUAGGAAAACCAUGAAUAAUUCCUUUCCAGCCCAAAAGCGAAGUGAUUAAUUAUCAGUUGUCUUUUUGCCUCUUCAUUUUGUUCUUAUAAGCAUCUUAAGCCGUAAUGUUUGUGGUCUCAAAGAAAUGAAAAAUACUGGCCUUAUUGUAUACCCAAAUACAUAAAUCUGUGUAAAUGUGAUGUGACAGGAGACUGUGACCACAUACAAAGGCAUUACACUGGGACUUGCCUUGCGUUCUUCUGUGCUUCUUUGCUUUGCAAUGGCUUCAACUAAAAUAAACCAUCACCGUAACA